AUAACGACUCUCGGCAACGGAUAUCUCGGCUCUCGCAUCGAUGAAGAACGUAGCGAAAUGCGAUACUUGGUGUGAAUUGCAAAAUCCCGUGAACCAUCGAGUCUUUGAACGCAAGUUGCGCCCUAAGCCUUUUGGCCGAGGGCACGUCUGCCUGGG
rnacentral:rRNA from 1 species